GCAAGUCAAGGAGAAAGAGAAAGCUUGCUUUCUCGAUUAAACUGGCGAACGGGUGCGUAACACGUGAGCAACCUUCUCUCGAGUGGGGGAUAACAUCUCUAACGAGAUGCUAAUACCGCAUAUGUUUAUUUAUUCGCAUGUAAAAAUAAACAAAGGUGGCUUCGGCUACCGCUUGAGAAUGGGCUCGCGGCCCAUUAGUUUGACGGUGAGGUAACGGCUCACCGUAUUGGCGAUGAUGGGUAGCUGGUCUGAGAGGAUGAUC
rnacentral:rRNA from 1 species